CAAUACCAAGCACGCAGUGUUUGUGUUCCCGUCUCGGACCUCAGACUGAAGGCUAAAUCCCACCAUGUGUGCUGAAAUCCCACCUGUGCUCAGGGGGGGACGCAGAAUGUACAGAGCCAUCUUUAUGAAGUCAUCAUUGAAAAUAAAGGGGCAAAAUCUGGGUCUGUUGGCUUAUCUCCAUGGAAGAGCCAGCUCAUGGACUUGGGCUGCACACACAGUUCCAGUGACAACUCAGGAGCAGUGGGCACUCGACAGUGCCCCCUCUCAGGCACUGCACCUGCCCUCUCCCACCUCCUCUGGGCACCAGCCUUCUGUGUGAAUUCAUCUGAGAAAAAGAAAGAUGAGAAGCAGAGAAAUCGCAACGCGCUGUGAGCCGGUGGAUGAGCAAACCAGUUUACCAACUUUUCAAGGUUCACAGAGAGGAGCUGAUCUCUGCAACGGAAUUAAAAACAAAGAUCGGCCACUUGCAACAACAGCAACAAAACAAUAGAGGUUUUUAUUUAUGGAACAGA